GACGAACGCUGGCGGCGUGCUUAACACAUGCAAGUCGAGCGAUGAAGUUCCUUCGGGAACGGAUUAGCGGCGGACGGGUGAGUAACACGUGGGUAACCUGCCUCAUAGAGGGGAAUAGCCUUCCGAAAGGAAGAUUAAUACCGCAUAAGAUUGUAGUAUCGCAUGAUACAGCAAUCAAAGGAGCAAUCCGCUAUGAGAUGGACCCGCGUCGCAUUAGCUAGUUGGUGAGGUAACGGCUCACCAAGGCGACGAUGCGUAGCCGACCUGAGAGGGUGAUCGGCCACAUUGGGACUGAGACACGGCCCAGACUCCUACGGGAGGCAGCAGUGGGGAAUAUUGCACAAUGGAGGAAACCCUGAUGCAGCAACGCCGCGUGAGUGAUGAAGGUCUUCGGAUUGUAAAACUCUGUCUUCAGGGACGAUAAUGACGGUACCUGAGGAGGAAGCCACGGCUAACUACGUGCCAGCAGCCGCCGUAA
rnacentral:rRNA from 1 species